GCAGUCAUAGCUCAGCUGGGAGAGCGUCAGACUGAAGUUAACUUCAAUCACUUAAUCUGAAGGUCGUGUGUUCAAUCCACACUGACUGCA
rnacentral:tRNA from 2 species